CCUGCCCUAGACAGGGGGAUAACUAUUGGAAACGAUAGCUAAGACCGCAUAGGUACGGACACUGCAUGGUGACCGUAUUAAAAGUGCCUCAAAGCACUGGUAGAGGAUGGACUUAUGGCGCAUUAGCUGGUUGGCGGGGUAACGGCCCACCAAGGCGACGAUGCGUAGCCGACCUGAGAGGGUGACCGGCCACACUGGGACUGAGACACGGCCCAGACUCCUACGGGAGGCAGCAUG
rnacentral:rRNA from 1 species